AACGCGAAGAACCUUACCAGGUCUUGACAUCCCAAUGGCCGCUUUAGAGAUAGAGCCUUCCCUUCGGGGACAUUGGUGACAGGUGGUGCAUGGUUGUCGUCAGCUCGUGUCGUGAGAUGUUGGGUUAAGUCCCGCAACGAGCGCAACCCUUGAUCUUAGUUGCCAGCAUUGAGUUGGGCACUCUAAGGUGACUGCCGGUGACAAACCGGAGGAAGGUGGGGAUGACGUCAAAUCAUCAUGCCCCUUAUGACCUGGGCUACACACGUGCUACAAUGGAUGGUACAAAGGGCAGCGAGACCGCAAGGUGGAGCGAAUCCCAUAAAACCAUUCUCAGUUCGGAUUGCAGGCUGCAACUCGCCAGCAUGAAGCCGGAAUCGCUAGUAAUCGCGGAUCAGCAUGCCGCGGUGAAUACGUUCCCGGGCCUUGUACACACCGA
rnacentral:rRNA from 1 species